GUGAAUCAUCGAGUCUUUGAACGCAUAUUGCGCCCUUUGGUAUUCCGAAGGGCAUGCCUGUUCGAGCGUCAUUAUCAACCAUCAAGCCUGGCUUGUUAUUGGACUCUACUACUUGAAACAUGUGGUAAGUUCGAAAAAUAAUGACAGUGUCGUGAUUUGACCCUAGAUGCAACUGAGCUUUUUAUAGCACGCAUUGAAAUUGGUCAACCGGCCUGGUCUUAACCGAUCAAUUUCUAAGGUUGUACCUCGGUAAUUCAGGUAGGAAUACCCGCUGAACUUAAGCAUAUCAAUUAAGCGGAGG
rnacentral:rRNA from 1 species